rnacentral:rRNA from 1 species
AACGAACGCUGGCGGCGUGGAUUAGGCAUGCAAGUCGAACGUGAAAGCACCGACGUAGCAAUACGAAGGUGCAAGUAAAGUGGCGAACGGGUGAGUAACGCGUGGGAAACCUGCUCCAGAGUGGGGGAUAACAGUUCUAACGGACUGCUAAUACCGCAUGAUGCUACGGGUCGAUGACUUCGUAGUUGAAGGAGGCCUCUGUUUCAAGCUUUCGCUCCGGAAUGGUCCCGCGCCUAUUAGCUUGUUGGUGGGGUAACGGCCUACCAAGGCAACGAUGGGUAGCCGGCCUGAGAGGGUGGUCGGCCACACUUGGGACUGAGGAUACGGCCCAGACUCCUACGGGAGGCAGCAGUCGAGAGGCUUCGGCAAUGGGGAAACCCUGACCGAGCGACGCCGCGUGGGUGAUGAAGAUUCUCGGAUCGUAAAACCCUGUCAGGUGGGAUGAAAUCCAUUCGGUUAACACCCGAGUGGCUUGACAGUACCACCAGAGGAAGCUCCGGCUAACUCCGUGCCAGC